rnacentral:rRNA from 1 species
UCGGGAAUUUUGGGCAAUGGGCGAAAGCCUGACCCAGCAACGCCGCGUGAAGGAUGAAGUAUUUCGGUAUGUAAACUUCGAAAGAAUAGGAAGAAUAAAUGACGGUACUAUUUAUAAGGUCCGGCUAACUACGUGCCAGCAGCCGCGGUAAUACGUAGGGACCAAGCGUUGUUCGGAUUUACUGGGCGUAAAGGGCGCGUAGGCGGCCUGCUAAGUCGAACGUGAAAUCCCCGGGCUCAACCCGGGAACUGCGUCCGAUACUGGCAGGCUUGAAUUCGGGAGAGGGAUGCGGAAUUCCAGGUGUAGCGGUGAAAUGCGUAGAUAUCUGGAGGAACACCGGUGGCGAAGGCGGCAUCCUGGACCCGGUAUUGACGCUGAGGCGCGAAAGCCAGGGGAGCAAACGGGAUUAGAUACCCCAGUAGUCCCUGAGCGGGC